rnacentral:rRNA from 1 species
UACGGGGGGGGCAAGCGUUGUUCGGAAUUACUGGGCGUAAAGGGCUCGUAGGUGGCCAACUAAGUCACACGUGAAAUCCCUCGGCUUAACCGGGGAACUGCGUUUGAUACUGGAUGGCUUGAGUUUGGGAGAGGGAUGCGGAAUUCCAGGUGUAGCGGUGAAAUGCGUAGAUAUCUGGAGGAACACCGGUGGCGAAGGCGGCAUCCUGGACCAAUACUGACGCUGAGGAGCGAAAGCCAGGGGAGCGAACAGG